rnacentral:rRNA from 1 species
AUUGAACGCUGGCGGCAGGCUUAACACAUGCAAGUCGAGCGGGGUGAUGGUGCUUGCACUAUCACUUAGCGGCGGACGGGUGAGUAAUGCUUAGGAAUCUGCCUAUUAGUGGGGGACAACAUCUCGAAAGGGAUGCUAAUACCGCAUACGUCCUACGGGAGAAAGCAGGGGAUCACUUGUGACCUUGCGCUAAUAGAUGAGCCUAAGUCGGAUUAGCUAGUUGGUGGGGUAAAGGCCUACCAAGGCGACGACCUGUAGCGGGUCUGAGAGGAUGAUCCGCCACACUGGGACUGAGACACGGCCCAGACUCCUACGGGAGGCAGCGGUGGGGAAUGUUGGACAAUGGGGGGAACCCUGAUCCAGCCAUGCCGCGUGUGUGAAGAAGGCCUUAUGGUUGUAAAGCACUUUAAGCGAGGAGGAGGCUCUUUUGGUUAAUACCCAAGAUGAGUGGACGUUACUCGCAGAAUAAGCACCGGCUAACUCUGUGCCAGCCGCCGCCGUAA